GACGAACGCUGGCGGCGUGCUUAACACAUGCAAGUCGAACGGUAAGGCCCUUCGGGGUACACGAGUGGCGAACGGGUGAGUAACACGUGGGUGAUCUGCCCUGCACUUUGGGAUAAGCCUGGGAAACUGGGUCUAAUACCGGAUAGGACCACGGCCUGCAUGGGUUGUGGUGGAAAGCUUUUGCGGUGUGGGAUGGGCCCGCGGCCUAUCAGCUUGUUGGGGGGGUGAUGGCCUACCAAGGCGACGACGGGUAGCCGGCCUGAGAGGGUGUCCGGCCACACUGGGACUGAGAUACGGCCCAGACUCCUACGGGAGGCAGCAGUGGGGAAUAUUGCACAAUGGGCGCAAGCCUGAUGCAGCGACGCCGCGUGGGGGAUGACGGCCUUCGGGUUGUAAACCUCUUUCACCAGGGACGAAGCGCAAGUGACGGUACCUGGAGAAGAAGCACCGGCCAACUACGUGCCAGCAGCCGCCGUAA
rnacentral:rRNA from 1 species